rnacentral:rRNA from 1 species
CCCCUUAGAGUUUGAUCCUGGCUCAGAACGAACGCUGGCGGCAGGCCUAACACAUGCAAGUCGAACGGGAUCUUCGGAUCUAGUGGCGGACGGGUGAGUAACGCGUGGGAACGUACCCUUUGGUUCGGAAUAGCCCUGGGAAACUGGGAGUAAUACCGGAUACGGUCGAGAGACGAAAGAUUUAUCGCCGAAGGAUCGGCCCGCGUUGGAUUAGGUAGUUGGUGGGGUAAUGGCCUACCAAGCCGACGAUCCAUAGCUGGUUUGAGAGGAUGAUCAGCCACACUGGGACUGAGACACGGCCCACACUCCUACGGGAGGCAGCAGUGGGGAAUCUUAGACAAUGGGGGAAACCCUGAUCUACCCAUGCCGCGUGAGCGAUGAAGGCCUUAGGGUUGUAAAGCUCUUUCAGUGGGGAAGAUAAUGACGGUACCCACAGAAGAACCCCCGGCUAACUCCGUGCCAGCAGCCGCGGUAAUACGGAGGGGGCUAGCGUUGUUCGGAAUUACUGGGCGUAAAGCGCACGUAGGCGGACUGGAAAGUCAGAGGUGAAAUCCCAGGGCUCAACCUUGGAACUGCCUUUGAAACUCCUGGUCUUGAGGUCGAGAGAGGUGAGUGGAAUUCCGAGUGUAGAGGUGAAAUUCGUAGAUAUUCGGGAGGAACACCAGUGGCGAAGGCGGCUCACUGGCUCGAUACUGACGCUGAGGUGCGAAAGCGUGGAGAGCAAACAAGAUUAGAUACCCCUGGUACUCCACGCCGUAAACGAUGAAUGCCAGACGUCGGGCAGCAUGCUUGUUCGGUGUCACACCUAACGGAUUAAGCACUCCCGCGCUGGAGGAAGUACGGCCGCAAGUUAAACUCAAAGAAAUUGACCGGCGCCCCGCACAAGGCGGUGGAGAGACUGUUGUUUUAAUUCCGAAGCCAGCGGCGCAGUAUCCUAGCAUUCCUUGACUGGGGCUAUCCGCGGGAACAGAGAGAGUGGUCCUCCUUUUCUACG